rnacentral:ncRNA from 1 species
UCAAUCUCAAAGGGGUGCCAAAAUGGCUGAGAUCAUACCCAAAGAACCUGGGCAGGUAAUGCUGCCAAGGGAAUNUUAAAAUUAUUUUA